rnacentral:rRNA from 1 species
AUACGGAGGAUGCGAGCGUUAUCCGGAUUUAUUGGGUUUAAAGGGAGCGUAGGUGGGAUAUUAAGUCAGCUGUGAAAGUUUGGGGCUCAACCUUAAAAUUGCAGUUGAUACUGGUUUCCUUGAGUACGGUACAGGUGGGCGGAAUUCGUGGUGUAGCGGUGAAAUGCUUAGAUAUCACGAAGAACUCCGAUCGCGAAGGCAGCUCACCGGGCCGGAACUGACACUGAUGCUCGAAAGUGCGGGUAUCAAACAGGAUUAGAUGCCCUGGUAGUCCGCACAGUAAACGAUGAAUACUCGCUGUUUGCGAUACACUGUAAGCGGCCAAGCGAAAGCGUUAAGUAUUCCACCUGGGGAGUACGCCGGCAACGGUGAAACUCAAAGGAAUUGACGGGG